rnacentral:rRNA from 1 species
GAUUCAGUUAAUUUAUUUUAGAAUUGUCUAAAGUUGUGCCAGAAUACGCGGUUAUACAAUUGAUUCAAAUUAAUUUUUUCGGUUAGUAUUUAUUUUGUGGAUUGGAGUUUUAUUCAUUGUUAUUAGGUGAAAUUUUAAUUUUGAUUAUUUGCUCUUGGUUUUGAGAUUAUAUGAAAUUUAGAAUUUAAACUAGGAUUAGAUACCCUAUUAUUCUA